rnacentral:rRNA from 1 species
GUUCGUAGUGACCUGCGGAGGAUCAUUAUUGAAAUAAACCUGAUGAGUUGCUGCUGGCUCUCUAGGGAGCAUGUGCACACUUGUCAUCUUUAUAUCUCCACCUGUGAACCUUUUGUAGACCUGGAUAUCUCUCUGAAUUUGCCUGACAAAUUUGGAUUUGAGGAUUGAUUUUUUUCUUUCCUUGCAUUUUCAGGUUUAUGUUUUUCAUAUACCCCAUGUAUGUUUAUAGAAUGUAAUAAACGGGCCUUUGUGCCUAUAAAUUUAUACAACUUUCAGCAACGGAUCUCUUGGCUCUCGCAUCGAUGAAGAACGCAGCGAAAUGCGAUAAGUAAUGUGAAUUGCAGAAUUCAGUGAAUCAUCGAAUCUUUGAACGCAUCUUGCGCUCCUUGGUAUUCCGAGGAGCAUGCCUGUUUGAGUGUCAUUAAUAUAUCAAUCCUCUUCAGCUUUAUGCAUGUCGAGUGUUGGAUGUGGGGGUUUUUGCUGGACUCUCUUGAGGUCAGCUCUCCUAAAAUACAUUAGCAAAACAAUUUGUUUACCGCUCAUUGGUGUGAUAACUAUCUACGCUAUUGACAGUAAAUCACAGUUUGGCUUCUAACCGUCCAUUAAAAUGGACAACCUUUUAUCAAUGUGACCUCAAAUCAGGUAGGAUUACCCGCUGAACUUAAGCAUAUCAAUAAGCGGAGGAAAAGAAACUAACAAGGAUUCCCCUAGUAACUGCGAGUGAAGCGGGAAAAGCUCAAAUUUAAAAUCUGGCAGUCUUUGGCUGUCCGAGUUGUGAUCUAGAGAAGUGCUAUCCGCGCUGGACCGUGUAAAAGUCUCCUGGAAUGGAGCGUCAUAGAGGGUGAGAAUCCCGUCUUUGACACGGACUCCCAGGGCUUUGUGAUGUGCUCUCAAAGAGUCGAGUUGUUUGGGAAUGCAGCUCAAAAUGGGUGGUAAAUUCCAUCUAAAGCUAAAUAUUGGCGAGAGACCGAUAGCGAACAAGUACCGUGAGGGAAAGAUGAAAAGAACUUUGGAAAGAGAGUUAAACAGUACGUGAAAUUGCUG